rnacentral:rRNA from 1 species
GAUGAACGCUGGCGGCGUGCUUAACACAUGCAAGUCGAACGGUGAAGGCGGAGCUUGCUCUGCUGGAUCAGUGGCGAACGGGUGAGUAACACGUGAGCAAUCUGCCCCUGACUCUGGGAUAAGCGCUGGAAACGGCGUCUAAUACUGGAUACGAGCUGCGAAGGCAUCUUCAGCAGCUGGAAAGAACUUCGGUCAGGGAUGAGCUCGCGGCUUAUCAGCUUGUUGGUGAGGUAACGGCACACCAAGGCGUCGACGGGUAGCCGGCCUGAGAGGGUGACCGGCCACACUGGGACUGAGACACGGCCCAGACUCCUACGGGAGGCAGCAGUGGGGAAUAUUGCACAAUGGGCGAAAGCCUGAUGCAGCAACGCCGCGUGAGGGACGACGGCCUUCGGGUUGUAAACCUCUUUUAGCAGGGAAGAAGCGAAAGUGACGGUACCUGCAGAAAAAGCGCCGGCUAACUACGUG